rnacentral:rRNA from 1 species
CCUACGGGAGGCAGCAGUCGAGAAUCAUUCACAAUGGGGGAAACUCUGAUGGUGCGACGCCGCGUGGGGGAAUGAAGGUCUUCGGAUUGUAAACCCCUGUCAUGUGGGAGCAAACUAAAAUGAUAGUACUCCACGAGGAAGAGACGGCUAACUCUGUGCCAGCAGCCGCGGUAAUACAGAGGUCGCAAGCGUUGUUCGGAAUCACUGGGCGUAAAGCGUGCGUAGGCUGUUUCGUAAGUCGUGUGUGAAAGGCGCGGGCUCAACCCGCGGACGGCACAUGAUACUGCGGGACUAGAGUGAUGGAGGGGGAACCGGAAUGCUCGGUGUAGCAGUGAAAUGCGUAGAUAUC